rnacentral:snRNA from 1 species
AGACUUAACACGGCAGAGUGUCACCAUAUUCACCAAGGUGUUGUUCCCAGAACCUGUCCUUUGACCUCUGGACAUGUUGUACCCUGAGAUUCCUCUCAAAUGUCGAAAAACAACUGCAUAAUUUGGGGACAUGAAGGACUGUGAUUCACAAACUC